GUUAUUUUAAAUAACAUUUUUUAUUUUGAAAAUAAAAAAGAGAAGUUAGAAGACUUCUAAAUAACU
rnacentral:tRNA from 1 species